rnacentral:lncRNA from 1 species
GCAUAUGGAAGUUCCCAAGCUAGGGGUGGAAUCAGAGCUGCAGCUGCAGACCUACACCAUAGUUAGAGCAAACAAGGACCUAACCUACACUGCAGCUGGCAGCCACGCUGGAUCCUUAACCCAGUGAGCGAGGUCAGGGAUCAGACCUGCAUUCUCAUGGAUACUAGUUGGGUUCUUAACCAGCCAAGCUACAACAGGAACUCCUUAGGCUUAAUUUUAAAAAGAAACUUUCCGGAAUGUUAAAAAUCAAUGUUACUGCAAUAAAAAAUAAUGUUUUUAAUAAAAAAUAAAUUUAAAAAAUAAAAUAAAGAAAAAGAAUCUUCUAUCCAGUCACAAUACUCAUGCAGGUUUAUGGGAGGAGAUUCCUAGUCCCAUGUAGAAACACCUUCUAAAAUGACCAGGAACAUAGGAACUCUUAUUCACUAACGCUCCUUUUUUGUCAUGAACCAGUUCUGUUAAGAUAGAACUCCUUUAUUUAAUAAACUGUGCUAAAGUGCCAUUUGCCCUGCCCUAAAGGAAUUAGUUUGAGCCAAAGGAAACUGAUAAGAACUAGAGAAUGUGGAAACCAACAAUUUAGCAAGGUGACAUCAGUUAUAGGCCACUUACCUCUACGAAAAAAAAACACAACACAACAUGGCCAACCCUAUUUAAGAAGAGUAUCCUUUUUAUCUAGAAGGCUAGGCUUUGACCUUAGUGACCACAGGCAAGCCAACUCUCUGUAAAAAAGGAAGGCUACUCACAAACACACCUGCCCCAUUCCCUCCAUCCCUUUCUCACCCAUCUCCCAUCUCCAUAUACUUGGCAGCUUUUGACUCAGAGAGGGGUGAGCCUGAAUGAAGCAAAGCUUUCCAAAUCAUCUAUGUAUCAUCUUCCCCAAGCUCUAUAUGAAGCUCAAGAUGAGUAUUUUACAAAGGAACAAAAUACGCAUAAGACACAUAAAUUUAAAAUUUAGUUUUCACCAUGAUCAAAUGUACUCAUAAUAUCGUAUAAUAUCUAGCUAGAACGAUCUCUUCGACACUUGGUAAAACAGUGAAGAUUAAAGCCUUUACUCACUGAGAAAUUAUUAAAUGUUCAAUCUUACAUGUUAAUCUUAACAAGUUUCAAAAUAUUAAAAUGUCAGAAAAUUCCCCUUUGCGGUCUUCAGGAUAUUUGUCCUUUCUUUUUCAGAAAUAGGAGUAGAACCUCUAUGAAAAGCAGCGAUCUAAGUAGAUCACAGCAAUGGGAAAUUCCUUCAUGGGAAUCUAACUUAAAAUGAUCCAAAUAGAGACAUGUAUUUGUAGCAGGCGACCUGAAGACAAAAUUCCAUGCUCAAACAAAAAGAGCUGCAGAGCUGGGAAAAAGGUUUGGGGGGAGAGGGGGAGGGUAGCCGCCCCAUUUGUUAUCAAUUCUUUGACCUCUUUUAGCUGGGUCUGAGGCCUAAAAUAAGUAGAGCAAAUUUCAGCAGCAUUGAGCUCAUCGAAGGUUUCAGUGCCUGAAGGCCUGUUUGAGUAACUAGGGGGAGGAGGGGGUGCUGAGCACUGGAGAGGGGGGAUGGAGGAGGCUGCAGACCCCAGGGCCACAGGAGGGGCUCAGGCUUUUGUUCCAAAAGGGCGCAGAUCCAUUGAAGGGCUUAGAGCCAGAGAGUCACAGGAUCUAAUUUACAUUUGAAAAAGGAUUGUUCUGGCUGCGGGUAGGGAUCAAACUGGGCGGAGUCAGGGAAACCACUAUGGGCUCUUGCAAGGACCCCUGUGAGAAAGGAUGGCUUGGGCCAGGCAGGUGGUGGAGGAGGCAGUGAGAAGCUAUCAGAUUUAGGAUAUAAUUAGAGGAGAAGAUGCAAAAUAUAAGAGGAAGGCAAAGGUCAUUUCUACCUCUUUUCAUAAAUAAAAAUAAAUUCUGUAUUGUUGGAUGAGAAACUAGGUAAGGGCUACAAACAAUUUGCAAAACAAGAAAUACAUGCAAAUAACAAUAUUAAACAAUUUCAAUAUCACUAGUAAUACAAACUGCACUGCAUAAAUACAAAUUAAAUUAAAAACAGGAUGCUUUCCCCCAGUCCUGAUUAUAAAAGAAUGUAAAAGAUCACUGUAGUGAGUCAAAUACUAUUUGUAUUCCCCCAAAUUCAUAUCCAUCAGGAAUUUCAGAAAGAGACCUUACUUAGAAACUGUCUUUGCAUGUGUAAUCAGUUAAGAUGAUAUCACAUUGGAUUAGGUGGGGCCUAAAAUCAAUGGCUGGGGUCCUUCUCAGAAGAGGAAAGGACACACAGAGAUACACAAGCCUGGAAGAGGCCAUGUGAGGAUGGAGGCAAGACUGCACUGAUGCUGCUGUAAGUCAAGGAACACCAAGGACUGCCAGAGCAUCAGACACUGAGAAGCAGCAAGGGAGAAUCCUGCCACAGAGCCUUUGGGAUGAAGGAGCACAGGCGUGUUGACUCCUGAUCGCAGACCUCUAAAGCCUCCAGAACUGUGAGCGAAUACAUUUCUGUUGUUUUAAGCCACUCAACAUGUGGGUAUCUGUUACUGCAGCCCUGGGGAACUAGUAGAAUAAUAUCAGAUGUUACCAAGAAUCUGGGAGGCAGGCACUCUCAUUCCCUGCUGGCAGAAGCAUAAAUCAGUAGUAUAACCUUCGGGAAAGAUGAUUUCACUGUGCUUACCACAGUUUUAAAUGACCAGAUCUCUUGAACCAGGAAUUCCUAAUUGGGGAAUUUAUACUAAGGAAAUAAUCAGAAGAAAUAUGGGCAACGAAUUAAAAAGAAGAGCACUCAUCUUCAGGUUACAACUGUAAAGAAUAUAAAUGUCCAAAAAUUUGAAAUUAGCCAAGUAAAUCUUGGUGUAAACUUACAAUGAAGUAACACGUAGCUAUUAAAACUGAUUUGACUGAAAACAUUCUGUGGUAGUUUGGUACAAAACUAAACAUGCUCUUACCAGGUGAUGUGGCAAUCACACUCCUUAAAAUUUACCCAAAUGAGCUGAAAACUUAGGUCCACACAAAAACCUACACGUGGAUUUUUACAGCAGCUUUACUUGUAAUUGCCCAAACUUAGAAGCAACCAAGAUGUCCUUCAGGAGGUGAAUGGGUAAACUAUGAUAUGUCCAUACAAUGCAAUAUUAUUUAGAAAAAAAAAAAUGAGCUAUCAAGCCACAGAAAGAUAGGGAGGAAGCUUAAAUGCAUACUACUAAGUGAAAGAAGCCAAUCUGAAAAAGGCUACAUACUGUGUGAUUCCAACUGAGUGACAUUCUAGGAAAGGCAAAGCUAUAGGGACAAUAAAAAGAUUAGUAGAUGCCAACAGUUAGGGGGUUGGGGAAAGAGAUUAAAAGGUAGAAUUUAGAUAUUUUUAUAGUGGUGAACUAUUCUGCAUGAUACUGUAAUGGUGGAUACAGGUCAUUACACAUUUGCCUAAACCUACAGAUGUACAACACAAAAAGUGAAUCCUAAUGUAAACCAUGGAUUUUGGGUGAUAAGGAGGUGUCAAUGUCAGGUCACCAAUUUUAAGAAAUGUACCACCCUGGUGUGGAUGUUGAUAUGUGGAGGGGAUGAACAUGUGUGAGGACAGGGAGCAUAGGGGAAAACUCCGUGUUUUCUGCUCAAUCCUGCUGCAAACCUAAAAUUAGUCCGAAAAAUAAAGUCUAUCAAAAGAAAAAAAUAACCUUGAAAAAAUAUUUAAGGCUAAGAAUACUCAAAAUGUGUGAUGUAUUUGUAACUGAAAAAAGAGUAUUAAAAACCUUACCUACAGUAAAUUUUAAUUUUUUUAAAAAAAGGAAUAAAGGAAUAUGUAUAUAUUCAUAUACUAUUAGAGAGAGCAGAGAAAAUGCUAAAACAUAAAGAAUGGUUAUUUCUGAGUGGUGGGAUUCACACAAUUUUUAACAUUUUUCUUUGUGAUUUCUUGUAUUCUCCAAAAUUUCUACAAUAAAUACAUAUUACUUUUGUAAUUAGGAAGGUAGAGUUAAUGUCAUCUAGAAGUAAUAACAAAUGCAUGGUCUGAGAAACCUAAGAACAUUAAUUUGAGAAAUAAACAUCCUUCAACUCUUUCUUUUACUUAGCAACCUGUCUACCCAGUCAGGGAUAGAUACUGAAAUCCAUCAUAUGUGAACAAUCUCUAAUUCCCUUGCUUGCAUAACAAAGCUUCCUGGAAUGUUCACCCACUUUAUCUUUCAUUCCUCUGUCACUUACCGCUCUUUAAAAAUAGAACUGAGAACAAAAGUGCUUUUGAAAACUAAAAAUAUGGGAGGAGAGGAAAAAAAAUGGAAAUUUGGAAGAUAAAGUUGUGAAAUUAUUUCAUAAAUCAAAAGAAAACAUAAGGAGGUUAGGAAAUAGAGAUUAAAAAGAGAAAUUAAAACAUCAAUCUAAAAGUCCCAACAAGAGAGGAAGAAAAUACCAUUAAAUAACUUUUCCAAAGUUUGGAAGAUAUUUUCUGGUUUCCAAUUUCUACUUGGAAGUUUCAAGUGCUCAUCAAAAUGAAUUUAAAAAAAGACCUACUUCACAGUACAUCAGAACACUAGGGCUAAAGAGGAAUUUCCACAGAGGAGGAAUAAACAGGAACACCCAAAGGACUGAAGGUGGAAACAUCACUUAGUGACAACACUAGAAACUGGACACCUAAGAGAUGGCUGCAGAGCUGGGAGGAACUGACUUCCACUCUGGGACACUAUACCCAAUGAACCAUCCAGAGGGUGGGUGACAUUCAGUUUAACCUCCCUUGACACCACAGCAGCCACUGUUGAUGGCCUUCCCAACAGCCAUCCUGGCAGUAUUCACAUAUUAAGUGGUCAUUUGGGGGGUGGGGCAUUGGCCCCAGGAGAGUAAGUCCUUAUUAGAACCAGUUAUGGCAAUUCCAUUCCCUUUGCUGUGGCCUGAGGUAUGAUGUUAGCUAACACAUUUUGAGAAAAGGGUUUUCAGGCCUUUAAAAGGAGGUUCACCAGAAAAUAUGCUUCAUUUUUUGCUUCUAGAUAUUGUUGUCUGCAUUUGACACCUGAAACAUGGCAGCCACCUUGCAGCUAGUCCCUCACAUUGAAGCUCAGAGAGUUGAAAGUUUGAAAGAAUUCAUGUUUGAAGCUAUCAUUAAGCCUGAACCAGCAUAACUCCUGACUUAUCUAAUAAAAGUCCUUUCUCUUCAAGUCACUUUUAGUUGGUUACCUGCUGAAAAGCAAAAAAUAGUCAUAAUAUACUUCCUGGCUCAGCAGGGAAUAAUAUUUAUAUAGUGACACUAUAUAUACUCAGAAUUCUGAGCUGGAGGGAAGAGGAUGGUGGGAGCACAGACAGGGUGGGGGCUUCCUCCUCAUCUUCCGCAAGUCGACAGAGAAUACUUAAUGCAGCCACACCAAGAGACAUCGGAAUGAGCAUGUUACUCAGCAACAGGAAGUGCCAAAGAAAAAGUUACGGGGAUGAAAACUUGAAUGCUUUUGAAAGGUGGAGACAUUUAAUCUUGUACUAUGUAGUAUACUAGACUAUAUGAAUUCAUGUCUACAGUAUAACGAAGAAUCUAUCUGGUCUUGGCCUGGGUUUCUGGCAUGGAGCUUCCACAACCCUUCACAUUUUCUGAAUGACAGCAGUGUCUUUGUUAAGCUAAAGUGGGAAUUCCCAGUGGCCUCCAAAUGGUUUCCAGUUGAGGGUUGGGCACUGGGGAGAACCUCUGUGAUCAGGGGUUGGGUGGGACUUUCAGCUGCCUGACCUCCUCCAAGGGAAGGACAGGAGCUGAAGGCUAACUUUAAUUAUGCUUCUGUAAUGAAGCCCCAGUAAACACCCUGGAGCACAAAGCUCAGUGGAGCUUCCUGGUUGGUGAACUGUGGCUGUGCGGGAGGGUGAUGCUCCUCCCUGCCUCCAUGAAGAGUGGGCAUGGAAGGUCUGUGCACUUCCCAGACU